rnacentral:rRNA from 10 species
AUCUAUGGCCAUACCACCCUGAACCCAACCAAUCUUGUCUGAUCUUGGAAACUAAGCAAGGUCAGGCCUGGUUGGUACUUGGAUGGGAGAAAUGUCAAUCAAAACUACUAUGAGAUA